UACAGAGGUCCCGAGCGUUGUUCGGAUUCAUUGGGCGUAAAGGGUGCGUAGGCGGUCUGCUAAGUUUGGUGUGAAAUCCCGGGGCUCAACCCUGGAAUUGCAUUGAAUACUGGUGGACUAGAGUACUGGAGAGGAAACUGGAAUUUACGUGUAGCAGUGAAAUGCGUAGAGAUCGUAAGGAAGACCAGUGGCGAAGGCGAGUUUCCUGGACAGUAACUGACGCUGAGGCACGAAGGCCAGGGGAGCAAACGG
rnacentral:rRNA from 1 species